GAAUAACCCCCAUAAUCUAUCUGUAUAACCUUAAGAAUACGGCUUAAGGGUCUCUACCAGGAACCGAAAAAUCCUGAUUACAGAAAGCGAUCACUCGUUU
rnacentral:ncRNA from 1 species